rnacentral:rRNA from 1 species
AACGAACGCUGGCGGCAUGCCUAACACAUGCAAGUCGAACGAGACCUUCGGGUCUAGUGGCGCACGGGUGCGUAACGCGUGGGAACCUGCCCUUAGGUUCGGAAUAACUCCCCGACAGGGGUGCUAAUACCGGAUAAUGUCUUCGGACCAAAGAUUUAUCGCCUUUGGAUGGGCCCGCGUUGGAUUAGCUAGUUGGUAGGGUAAAAGCCUACCAAGGCGACGAUCCAUAGCUGGUCUGAGAGGAUGAUCAGCCACACUGGGACUGAGACACGGCCCAGACUCCUACGGGAGGCAGCAGUGGGGAAUAUUGGACAAUGGGCGAAAGCCUGAUCCAGCAAUGCCGCGUGAGUGAUGAAGGCCUUAGGGCUGUAAAGCUCUUUUACCCGGGAUGAUAAUGACAGUACCGGGAGAAUAAGCGCCGGCUAACUCCGUG